AAGUCGUAACAAGGUCUCCGUAGGUGAACCUGCGGAGGGAUCAUCUAUAAAAUGCGGGUCUUUCCUACUGAAAAGUAGGGAACGUGCCUAUGCGUAUGUUAGGGUGUUGUUGAUACAAAACAUGGAGAGUGAGAGGGGACAAAGAGAGGGAAAGUGGUGAUGGUAUGGGGCAAGGCGUGGUAUGCGAGUAUCGCGCCCCCAUCCUACACGUUUCCUCCCUCCCUCUCCCUCCUCCAGACUCUAUGCUGCAGGAUGGAGUGUGUUGGAUCCGCGAGGAUACCCUCACCAUCAAAUACCAGGGUCUACGAUACACAAAGUUUAUAACUUUUGGCAACGGAUCUCUUGGUUCUC
rnacentral:misc_RNA from 1 species